rnacentral:rRNA from 1 species
UCGGUGGGGAUUAGUGGCGAACGGGUGAGUAACACGUGGGCAAUCUGCCCUUCACUCUGGGACAAGCCCUGGAAACGGGGUCUAAUACCGGAUACUGACCCUCGCAGGCAUCUGCGAGGUUCGAAAGCUCCGGCGGUGAAGGAUGAGCCCGCGGCCUAUCAGCUUGUUGGUGAGGUAAUGGCUCACCAAGGCGACGACGGGUAGCCGGCCUGAGAGGGCGACCGGCCACACUGGGACUGAGACACGGCCCAGACUCCUACGGGAGGCAGCAGUGGGGAAUAUUGCACAAUGGGCGAAAGCCUGAUGCAGCGACGCCGCGUGAGGGAUGACGGCCUUCGGGUUGUAAACCUCUUUCAGCAGGGAAGAAGCGAAAGUGACGGUACCUGCAGAAGAAGCGCCGGCUAACUACGUGCCAGCAGCCGCGGUAAUACGUAGGGCGCAAGCGUUGUCCGGAAUUAUUGGGCGUAAAGAGCUCGUAGGCGGCUUGUCACGUCGGUUGUGAAAGCCCGGGGCUUAACCCCGGGUCUGCAGUCGAUACGGGCAGGCUAGAGUUCGGUAGGGGAGAUCGGAAUUCCUGGUGUAGCGGUGAAAUGCGCAGAUAUCAGGAGGAACACCGGUGGCGAAGGCGGAUCUCUGGGCCGAUACUGACGCUGAGGAGCGAAAGCGUGGGGAGCGAACAGGAUUAGAUACCCUGGUAGUCCACGCC